rnacentral:rRNA from 4 species
UUAAGUUAUUAAGGGCGCACGGUGGAUGCCUUGGCACUAGAAGCCGAUGAAGGACGUUACUAACGACGAUAUGCUUUGGGGAGCUGUAAGUAAGCUUUGAUCCAGAGAUUUCCGAAUGGGGAAACCCAGCAUGAGUUAUGUCAUGUUAUCGAUAUGUGAAUACAUAGCAUAUCAGAAGGCACACCCGGAGAACUGAAACAUCUUAGUACCCGGAGGAAGAGAAAGAAAAUUCGAUUCCCUUAGUAGCGGCGAGCGAAACGGGAAGAGCCCAAACCAACAAGCUUGCUUGUUGGGGUUGUAGGACACUCUAUACGGAGUUACAAAGGACGACAUUAGACGAAUCAUCUGGAAAGAUGAAUCAAAGAAGGUAAUAAUCCUGUAGUCGAAAAUGUUGUCUCUCUUGAGUGGAUCCUGAGUACGACGGAGCACGUGAAAUUCCGUCGGAAUCUGGGAGGACCAUCUCCUAAGGCUAAAUACUCUCUAGUGACCGAUAGUGAACCAGUACCGUGAGGGAAAGGUGAAAAGCACCCCGGAAGGGGAGUGAAAUAGAACCUGAAACCGUGUGCUUACAAGUAGUCAGAGCCCGUUAAUGGGUGAUGGCGUGCCUUUUGUAGAAUGAACCGGCGAGUUACGAUUUGAUGCAAGGUUAAGCAGUAAAUGUGGAGCCGUAGCGAAAGCGAGUCUGAAUAGGGCGUUUAGUAUUUGGUCGUAGACCCGAAACCAGGUGAUCUACCCUUGGUCAGGUUGAAGUUCAGGUAACACUGAAUGGAGGACCGAACCGACUUACGUUGAAAAGUGAGCGGAUGAACUGAGGGUAGCGGAGAAAUUCCAAUCGAACCUGGAGAUAGCUGGUUCUCUCCGAAAUAGCUUUAGGGCUAGCCUCAAGUGAUGAUUAUUGGAGGUAGAGCACUGUUUGGACGAGGGGCCCCUCUCGGGUUACCGAAUUCAGACAAACUCCGAAUGCCAAUUAAUUUAACUUGGGAGUCAGAACAUGGGUGAUAAGGUCCGUGUUCGAAAGGGAAACAGCCCAGACCACCAGCUAAGGUCCCAAAAUAUAUGUUAAGUGGAAAAGGAUGUGGCGUUGCCCAGACAACUAGGAUGUUGGCUUAGAAGCAGCCAUCAUUUAAAGAGUGCGUAAUAGCUCACUAGUCGAGUGACACUGCGCCGAAAAUGUACCGGGGCUAAACAUAUUACCGAAGCUGUGGAUUGUCCUUUGGACAAUGGUAGGAGAGCGUUCUAAGGGCGUUGAAGCAUGAUCGUAAGGACAUGUGGAGCGCUUAGAAGUGAGAAUGCCGGUGUGAGUAGCGAAAGACGGGUGAGAAUCCCGUCCACCGAUUGACUAAGGUUUCCAGAGGAAGGCUCGUCCGCUCUGGGUUAGUCGGGUCCUAAGCUGAGGCCGACAGGCGUAGGCGAUGGAUAACAGGUUGAUAUUCCUGUACCACCUAUAAUCGUUUUAAUCGAUGGGGGGACGCAGUAGGAUAGGCGAAGCGUGCGAUUGGAUUGCACGUCUAAGCAGUAAGGCUGAGUAUUAGGCAAAUCCGGUACUCGUUAAGGCUGAGCUGUGAUGGGGAGAAGACAUUGUGUCUUCGAGUCGUUGAUUUCACACUGCCGAGAAAAGCCUCUAGAUAGAAAAUAGGUGCCCGUACCGCAAACCGACACAGGUAGUCAAGAUGAGAAUUCUAAGGUGAGCGAGCGAACUCUCGUUAAGGAACUCGGCAAAAUGACCCCGUAACUUCGGGAGAAGGGGUGCUCUUUAGGGUUAACGCCCAGAAGAGCCGCAGUGAAUAGGCCCAAGCGACUGUUUAUCAAAAACACAGGUCUCUGCUAAACCGUAAGGUGAUGUAUAGGGGCUGACGCCUGCCCGGUGCUGGAAGGUUAAGAGGAGUGGUUAGCUUCUGCGAAGCUACGAAUCGAAGCCCCAGUAAACGGCGGCCGUAACUAUAACGGUCCUAAGGUAGCGAAAUUCCUUGUCGGGUAAGUUCCGACCCGCACGAAAGGCGUAACGAUUUGGGCACUGUCUCAACGAGAGACUCGGUGAAAUCAUAGUACCUGUGAAGAUGCAGGUUACCCGCGACAGGACGGAAAGACCCCGUGGAGCUUUACUGUAGCCUGAUAUUGAAAUUCGGCACAGCUUGUACAGGAUAGGUAGGAGCCUUUGAAACGUGAGCGCUAGCUUACGUGGAGGCGCUGGUGGGAUACUACCCUAGCUGUGUUGGCUUUCUAACCCGCACCACUUAUCGUGGUGGGAGACAGUGUCAGGCGGGCAGUUUGACUGGGGCGGUCGCCUCCUAAAAGGUAACGGAGGCGCUCAAAGGUUCCCUCAGAAUGGUUGGAAAUC